rnacentral:rRNA from 1 species
UAUGUGAUCGUCUCUCGCAUAUCAAUAAGCGGAGGAAAAGAAACUAACAAGGAUUCCCCUAGUAACGGCGAGUGAAGCGGGAAGAGCUCAAAUUUGAAAUCUUAAAGGGUUUCCCUUUACGAAUUGUAGUUUAAAGAAGUGUUUUCUGUUGAGGUUUUGGUAAAAGUUCUUUGGAAUAGGACAUCAUAGAGGGUGAGAAUCCCGUAUUUGACCUUUACUUUCAACUCUGUGAUACACUUUCAAAGAGUCGGAUUGUUUGGGAAUGCAGUCCAAAAUGGGUGGUAAAUUUCAUCUAAAGCUAAAUAUUGGCGAGAGACCGAUAGCGAACAAGUACCGUGAGGGAAAGAUGAAAAGAACUUUGAAAAGAGAGUUAAACAGUACGUGAAAUUGUCAAAAGGGAAGCGUUUGACACCAGUGUUGUUUUUCUGAAAAUCAAUUAAAGAACUGUUUAUGCUAAGCUGUUUAGACUUUAUCAGCUAUCUGUUUAGUUUUGAGCUUUUCUUUAAUGCACUUUUCAGUUAACAAGUCAACAUCAAUUUCUUUUGCUGUAAAAAAGCUUGAGGAAGGUGGCUUGAGAUUCGUCUUAAGUGUUUAUAGCCUCUUGCCUAUGCAGUCGGAGAGAUUGAGGUCUGCAGCGUAGAUCCUUCGGGGCUAAAUGCAUUUGUGCUAAGUUAUAGCAUUUUAUAGACAACUUGUUGACUAUGAUUUGUCUUGUAGCUUACUCGCUUAUGUUAUUUUACCUACGCUUAGGAUGUUGAUCUACAGAGCGAGAGU